GUCAAGCUUCCAAGAAAAGCCCUAUACCCGUUAAGGCAUGAUUACCUGUACCCGAAACCGACACAGGUGGGGUGGUAGAGAAUACCGAGGGGCGCGAGGUAACUCUCUCUAAGGAACUCGGCAAAAUGACCCCGUAACUUCGGGAGAAGGGGUGCCAGCGCGAGCUGGUCGCAGUGAAUAGGCCCAGGCGACUGUUUACCAAAAACACAGGUCUCCGCUAAGUCGCAAGACGAUGUAUGGGGGCUGACGCCUGCCCAGUGCCGGAAGGUUAAGGAAGUUGGUCAGCGCAAGCGAAGCUAACGACUGAAGCCCCGGUGAACGGCGGCCGUAACAAUAACGGUCCUAAGGUAGCGAAAUUCCUUGUCGGGUAAGUUCCGACCCGCACGAAAGGCGUAACGAUCUGGGCGCUGUCUCGGAGAGAGGCUCGGCGAAAUAGAAUUGUCUGUGAAGAUGCGGACUACGUGCACCCGGACAGAAAGACCCUAUGAAGCUUUACUGUAGCUUGGUAUUGUGCUCGGGCUCGCAAUGCGCAGGAUAGGUGGGAGGCUUUGAUCCAUUGCUUGUGGGUGAUGGUGAGCCACUGGUGAGAUACCACUCUUUGCGAGCUAGGGUUCUAACGGUUACCCGUCAUCCGGGAACCGGACAGUAUCUGGUGUGCAGUUUGACUGGGGCGGUCGCCUCCUAAAAGGUAACGGAGGCGCGCAAAGGUUUGCUCAGGCUGGUUGGAAAUCAGCCGACGAGUGUAAAAGCAGAAGCAAGCUUGACUGUGAGACCUACAAGUCGAACAGGGAGGAAACUCGGCUUUAGUGAUCCGACGGUUCUGAGUGGAAGGGCCGUCGCUCAACGGAUAAAAGUUACUCUAGGAUAACAGGCUGAUCUCCCCCAAGAGUUCACAUCGACGGGGAGGUUUGGCACCUCGAUGUCGGCUCAUCGCAACCUGGGGCUGAAGUCGGUCCCAAGGGUUGGGCUGUUCGCCCAUUAAAGCGGUACGCGAGCUGGGUUCAGAACGUCGUGAGACAGUUCGGUCCAUAUCCGGUGCAUGCGCAGGAAUAUUGAGAGGAUUUCUCCCUAGUACGAGAGGACCGGGGGGAACGCACCUCUGGUGUACCAGUUAUCGUGCCAACGGUAAACGCUGGGUAGCCAUGUGCGGAGUGGAUAACCGCUGAAAGCAUCUAAGUGGGAAGCCCACCUCAAGAUGAGUAUUCCCAUGGCUUAAGCCAGUAAGGUCACGGGAAGAACACCCGUUGAUAGGCUCUAUGUGGAAGCGCAGUAAUGCGUGAAGCAGAGGAGUACUAAUAGACCGAGGGCUUGAUC
rnacentral:rRNA from 1 species